AUGUCAGCGAGCAAUCUGAGGCGGCGGCUCCAUCACGCAGAUGUUGAUGGAAGGAAGAAUGAACAUGUUGACAUAUCCCAUGUAGAUUCCCUGGAUGAACCUCUACUAGGGAAAUCUAGUUAUGACGGUGGCGGAUCGGAAGUAUAUGACCCCAGAAGGCAAGACUUGUGGGAUGAUGAUGAUAGGAAAAAGGAACAAUUGCACUGGUCAUUUCUUUUCUCAAAUUUGAUUGCGCAGUGGGCACAGUGGUUAGCAAAUAUUAUUGUAAGCUCCGGGUCAAUUUUUGGCAGGUUGUUUCCCUUUUCUUCGGAUAACGAAACCAGCAAUCCAGUAUAUGUUAGUCCUUUGCAGGAAGAAAGAUUGGACAAUUUAAGACGCAGAUUGAAAAUCCCUUUUGAUGGUUCCCGUAUUGAGCACCAAGACGCCUUGAAACAACUGUGGAAGUUAGCUUACCCAAGUCGCGAGAUUCCUCCUCUAAAAUCAGAAUCGUGGAAGGAGAUGGGUUGGCAAGGCACUGAUCCAUCAACAGAUUUCAGGGGUGGUGGAUACAUAUCAUUGGAGAACCUCAUCUUUUUCGCUAGGAACUACCCAGCAUCCUUUCAAAUGCUUCUGAACAAAGUGCAAGGUCAAAGAGCAGAUUGGGAGUACCCUUUUGCAGUUGCUGGUAUCAACAUUUCAUUCAUGCUGAUCCAGAUGUUGGAUCUGCAAUCAACUGUUCCAUCUUCAAAGUCAGGAAUUCGUUUCCUGGAACUACUCGGACGAGAUGAACAUGCGUUUGAUCACCUCUAUUGUGUAGCCUUUCGGAUGCUUGAUGCCCAGUGGCUCGUGAAACGUGCUUCAUAUAUGGAGUUCAAUGAGGUGAUGAAAUCCACGAGAACUCAGUUGGAGCGUGAACUGGUUUUAGAGGAUGUAUUGGCGGUCAAGGACCUACCGUCUUACACAAUGCUGGACAAAUAA
rnacentral:rRNA from 1 species